GCCAUACACCUGUCCUACCUGCACAAUUAUCUGGAUGAUAAAAUAACCGUUUCUUUCAGACAGAAAUAGUUUCUCAUCAAGUAAGCAACCAGGUUAAUUCCCAACGUCCACUGUGUGUAUUUGGCUUUUCUUUUAAAAACGUUAGUCUACCUGUAUGAUACAUCAUGGAGAAAAGACCAAUCAAAUUUGGGAUUAUUUUUACUUUGGCUGUUUCAGCACUCCUUUUCUUUGCUGAUGUUGUGCCUGUUUCCCAUUUACGGAGGGCAACACCCAGCAGCAGUGACAAGACCACCCCAGCUACACUGUCCGCAUACUACUUAUGUGUCAGAAUCACCAACCAGAUUUACACUGAGUCACUCAAUAAUCAAAGCUCUAAGGAGUACAAACAGCUGAGGAAACAGGUGGAACAGAUGAUGGAUGAUGUCCACAGCUCUUUGCCAGAGUCUGACAAAUAUAUGGGUGUAUUUGAUGUAAUCUUCAGUAAUGGAUCAGUCAUUGCAAACUCGACAUUAAUGUUUGGGACUACAUUCAUGAUCAUUCCAACUUUGGCUCAAGGUCUACUUUCCAUUCAUAUCCAAUCAAAUAAAUCCAAAACCCUUGACCUGGACCUCGCCUAUACUGAAGGUCAACUUCCAAUAAAAGCCACACUACCUCUUGUAGCACGUACAACAGCAACCGUAACUUCCUCACCACCAUCUACCACAAAUACCCCUGCAGCAACGACUACUACAGUUGCCUUAGUUAGUACGGCUAGCCGUUCAGGAAGGGUCGGGGAUGGAACUGCAUCUACAGCAAUGAUUUCAUCUGGCAACAUCACCAGUCUUGCAACAAUUAAUAUCAUAAGUAGUCAUACCCUCACAACCACCACCACUAGUCCUGACCAAAACAGCACAAUUAGCAGCAUUACCACUCAUAUUCCUGAAGACCAUAACAGUACAAUUAGCAGCAUUAACACUCAUAUUCCUGAAGACCAUAACAGUACAAUUAGCAACAUUACCACUCAUAUUCCUGAAGACCAUAAAAGUACAAUUAGCAGCAUUAACACUCAUAUUCCUGAAGAACAUAACACUACAAUUAGCAACAUAACCACCCCUAUUCCUGGAGACCAUAACAUUACAAUUAGCAACAUAACCAUCCCUGCUCCUGAAGACCAAAACAGUACAAUUAGCAACAUAACCAUCCCUAGUCCUGGGGACCCUAACAUAACAAUUAGCAACGUAAGCACCCAUAUUCCUGGAGACCACAACAAUACAAUUAGCAACAUAACCACCCCUAGUCCUGGGGACCCUAACAUAACAAUUAGCAACGUAAGCACCCAUAUUCCUAGAGACCACAGCAAUACAAUUAGCAACAUAACCAUCCCUAGUCCUGGGGACCCUAACAUAACAAUUAGCAACGUAAGCACCCAUAUUCCUGGAGACCACAACAAUACAAUUAGCAACAUAACCAUCCCUAGUCCUGGGGACCCUAACAUAACAAUUAGCAACGUAAGCACCCAUAUUCCUAGAGACCACAACAAUACAAUUAGCAACAUAACCACCCCUAGUCCUGGGGACCCUAACAUAACAAUUAGCAACGUAAGCACCCAUAUUCCUGGAGACCACAACAAUACAAUUAGCAACACAACCACCUCUGCUCCUGAAGACCACAACAUUACAAUUAGCAACACAACCACCCCUAUUACCCCUAUAAAUCCUCCCCAGACCAGUAGCACGACAGUCUUCCGUAAAACCUCUACAUCAACAACUGCCUCAGUCCAAUCUAACCCCCCAGUUGCCCCUACUGAGAGAGCAACAAGCAGGCAUCAGGCUGCCACAGGCCAAACGACCAGUCAUAAAACCACAGAGAAUACGGAGGCGACACAUAAGACCACAGAGAAUGCUGCAGCUGUAGUUGCUGGGGGUGGAGAGGGAGUCCCAGGAUGGGGGAUCGCUCUAUUGGUACUGGCUGUCCUGACCUUGUUAAUCCUCCUUAUUCUCCUAAUACUGCUGCUAGUGUGGUUGUGCUGUAGGCAGAGAUAUGGAAGUUUCAGCGCAUAUAACCAGAUCAACCACGGGGCAGACAUCCAAAUGUACUCCACACACAGCCGCUUCGACGUGCCCAACGGCAAGCCUAAUGACGAAAUGCAGGGACCAUCGAAAAACCAAACAGGGAUGCAUGUGGUGAACGAGUACUGACACACAGGGAGAUGGGGUUCAACGUGAGGUUCGAAUAGGUAGACUACUGAUUAUUGCCGAUAUAGAAGCUCCAGUCAAUUGGGUAAGAAGACCAUCUGAAAUGGCCUUAUGAAGUAAUAUGCAUGGGAGCAAUGACAAUUCUGUACAAAUGGUCCAAUUAUCUCUGAAGUAUCUGAAUGAAGAUCAUGGCGUUGGCUCACUGAUUGUAAUUUCAACCUGUAUUUAUUCAAAUCAAAUCACAUUUAUUUAUAAAGCCCUUUUUACAUCAGCUGAUGUCACAAAGUGCUAUACAGAAACUCAGCCUAAAACCCCAAGCAGCAAGCAAUGCAAUGUCCUAAUGUUAUUUUAUUCCUAAUGUUUUUACCAGUGGAGGCUGCUGAGGGGAGGAUGGCUCAUAAUAAUAGCCGGAAUGAAGUCAAUGGAAUGGUAUCAAAGAC